CAUUAUCAGAUGAGGACAUCACCAAAGUGUGAGUCUGUCAAGGGAUUUGAUCUGUUAUCUGCAUGUCGUACUAUGUACACACUGCUCUGGUAUUAAUUAAAAAUAUAAUUGUAAAAUGUAAGUCUCCCGCUCUUGUCAUCGUUCAGGCUUUGCAUUUGAACUCCUAUGACUGGUUGCAGACUUGAAGGGAACGACUUCCUGGCCUUCCUGACAUCCAGGAAAAAGGUCAAAUCCAUUUCAAUGCCAAAAGCAAUUUAUUGUUUUUAACUUUUUUAAUAUGAUUUUUUUGGGGAAUUUCAGUUUUAUUGGACAGUAGAGAUGUACUGGAAACAGAUAUUUGAGAUGAUAUGCAGCAAAAGGCCGAGCCGGAUGGUUGCUGCUCCGUGUGAAACGUGUUCUAUCAGGUGUAACAUCUACCAAUGGUUGUACAUGACAUAGACCUCUUCCACCUCUUUGCUGUCCUACUAUUCAACCCUCCUGAUCAGAGCCUUUCCUAAAUAGUGAAAGGAUCAUGCCAGCCCACAUCAAACACCUGAUCAAGAACUUGUGAAUCGCCAGGCAGAGGAGA